rnacentral:lncRNA from 1 species
AGAAGAUUGAAGGGCGUCAUGAAGAACAAAUUUGAGAUCAUUCGCUGGUAACGAAAAUUUACAAUAUGCCGGGCGUCUUCUAGCGCUGCUACUGCAUUGAGAUUUAUUUGGCGAUUUUGAAGACUCGGCAGAAUAUGGCGUUGAUGACAAAAGAUUGAAAGUCCCAGCGAUCCACGAAGAACUACCCAUUCCAGCACCACUCAUCUCUCUCCCCCUUGUUUAGCCUGCUGGGAAUGAUAACCCCUUUUAUUUCGGCAUAACAUCAGAAACCUUGAGGUUUCUUCUAAUAUUACUUGGCACCCGUGAGGUUUUGAAAAUAUCAUUUACCUCCCCUAAUAAUUGUAAAUAGACUAUAUUAACCCUAACUUGAUACAUAAUUGACAUAUCAAAUAAAUGGAAGUCAAAGAAUUUAAAAAAAUAAAUAAAAGUCCUUUUCUUCUCUUUAUCCUUUCUCCAACAUUCUCUCUUACUCAUUUUUUGGAUGACUAUGCGAUUUUUUAUUUGUAAAUUAUAGUAAAUUGAAUUUUGUUUAUCUUUUAUUUUUUGUGAUUGUGAUAUAUGGGAUAUGAUUUCGUUAUCUAUUUUGACUUGAUUUUUAUAAUGAUUAGUACAAUUUAAAAGCUUAAGCAUGGAUUGAAAAGAAAUUGGAAAAAAACUAUAAAAUUCAUAAGAAAUCAAUUUUAAGCAUAUAAAGUUAAAUUGGUGCUAGUAUAUUUUUUGUAAGGAUUAAUCUUUCUUACACUGACAGUGUAAAUAUCUUUUUUAUUUUUUAAUUUAUAUUUUUAUGAAUUAUAGCACAUUGUGACGUGGUAGUACUACUAGAAAUUAUUUUUUAAAUGAUGAUUUUCUUGUAGUAAACAAAGUAGUUUAGGAGUGCUUUUAUUUAGCAAGCAAAAUGGUAGUUUAGGAUUUUUUAAUAUUUUGUUACACAAAUAUUAGAACUAAGAGAGGUAAGUGAUAUUUUUAAAAUUUUAGAAGUAAUAGGUGAUAUUAAGAGAAAUCUCACAGGAAGUUUAUGAUAUUAUCCCUUUUUUGAUGGGAGUAUUUUUUUUCCACACAUAUGAUAUGUGUUUUGAAAUUAAGGAAGGAAAACAGAUAAUCCUAUUAAAAAUGUUUAAAUGCACUAAAUGUGACGCCUCACAUCUCCCUAAGGCGGACCAAAGGGUAUCCGCGGACGCCUGCCCAACUCUCGCCAGGACUCAAGCAAUUCCAUUCAAUUUAAAUCCGAACUAAACAUUUCGAAGAGAGAGAAACAUGAAUACAAAUAGUGCGGAAGCGUUCAAGCUUAACAAGUCACUUAACAUGUAACCAUUACAUCGGAAAUCAUAAUACGUCUUAAAUUCAAAAUACACGUCAGGGCCCAAACUUUUACAUUUCAAUUCCAAAAGUACAACUCAAACCAGGGCCUAGUCAAAAUAUAGCAAGAGUCUUAACAAAAGUACAACGAAGGGUUUCUCCAUACUUCUCCAAGAUUCAGUCCUGUUAAGGAAAACAAAACUAUAGGGUGAGCUAAACGCUCGUGAGGCCAAGAACACACAUGCAAGCACUUUGUUCAAAUAGCAAUCCCAAAUUUAAUAAAUAAAACCAUGUCUUUUCAAUAAUCAAUCAUUCGAACAGGAAAAGAAAUCAGAAACAAUUCAAGGAUAUAGUAACUCUCAGGAGCUAAGUUCCACUCGCUCUGCCGAUGUCAUUCGUAUACCUUCCCGCGUUGACCCUCCUGUCAACCGGGUCGGUAUUUCCAUUUCCGUAGAUCACCACUUACUUCCCUCCGUCCACCGUACACCUCAAGGGCCCACAAAUCAUUUAUAAGGCGAUACUCCACGAGUAUGCCAAGCAAGACCUCUCAUUAGGUCGAGCUUAUAAAUCUCAUGGCUCGUCCAAGUUCCCGAACAAGCCCAUUGCCGGCUCGAGUCCAAGGACGGCCUAUGAGUUUGGGCGUCCCCCAUUCAUUUAAAAGUCGAGGAGGUUCACUCCAACGACAUAUGUAAUCAUAACAUAACAUUUCAUUUCAUUCAUUCAUUUAAUACAUUUCAUUCAUUCAAUACAUUUCAAUCAUUCAUUUGAAAUUAGAACGAGUGUGAUAAAGUACACACCCGCCCUUAUUUUCUUAAAAUUCCAACAAUUACCACAAAUAAAUAUGUAUCAAGGAUUCACACACUUGACACUCACCGAGCAAUUCAAUAAGAAUUAUUUAUGGGAGUUCAAGUAUCCACAGUAAGAUCCUCUUGAAUGUCUCCUUGUGCGCCUGGCAAUUAAUAGUGGAUAAUCACUCAACAAUCCAAUUAUCAAGGAAGAUUGUACACUAGUACAAUCUAAAGAUUAUUUCACAAAAGGAACCUCAAUUACUCGUAAAUCGAGGUUCAACUUGCCUUUUAUUAUGUACAAUAUUAUUUGAGUUUUUAUCAUGAAAAUCGAGGGUAAAACGUUUGAAUAAUACUAAGAGAAUUAAGAGUUUUGGAAAAACUCCUUUGCCUUGAAAAUUGAGAAAUUUCAGUUUUAUCCUAAAUCUUUGAAAAUUCGAAUCUCUCUCGAUAUAAGCCCAAAACUGGAAAACUUUAUACCGUUGGAAACCUUUUGGAAAGUGCUAAAAGUUCUUAGAAGACACCUUUCCAUGAAUCUAAGUGGAAAGUACUCAAAAAUGAGCUUGAAAAUACAGACUCGGCGUACAAGGCAGAAUUAAGUUGGAUUUCGGCCAACUUUGAAAAUUCGGCACGGUUCACACGUUGCAAACCAGCCUCUUAAAUUUGUCAAUCAAGUAGAGUUGCAAGUGAGGUUUAUAACAAAACAAGCGGAUCAAGAACCGGAGUUUCGAGUACCGAGAUAUGGUAGCUCGAAGUUGGGAAAAUUCAAGACUGGAGAAGAAUUUCCAGAUUUGAACCUCCAACACUAGAAAUUUAAUUAGGUAUCGAAACGAACUUGGAUUGGUACCAAAAUUGGCAGUACUUUACUCCUAUAUGAAAGGUACCGCCCUAUCAAAUUUCAGGGAAAAAUACCUUCGGAAAGAUAGAUAAUUAGUCAACCAAAGUUCAGGAAAAAUUCUAAGGCAAUCUGCCUUUUGACUUUCAUUUCCCAAUUUCAAAUCGUUUAACCAAGAAAGCUAUCCAACCAUGGUUCAUUGGUGAAAUAAAGGUCUAAGAUACAUCCAUGAUACCUUUGGUAAUGGUUUAGCAUCAAAAACUUCAAUUAAUAAAAUCAUUCCCAAGUUUUGUCCCAAAUCAGUCCAAAUAUUACGUUUUUCCAAAACAGGGCAGUCCUCUUGUUUUAGUCACAACUCAGUCAAUUUAACUCAGAAUGAGGCAUGGUUUAUGGCGUUAGAAAAUACAUUCAUAGGACUAAAAGUUUACAGAAGAAAACAUUCUGAAAUUUGGCAAGCAACCAGCUCAAAAUUGAGCCUCAAGUUGCUGCCUCUACAAACCAUUCCAGCAAAUCCGAGAGACAGGACAGCUAUUUUAAAACGUUUGGUUCGGAUCACUCACAAAGAAUCAGAAUGUGCAUUUUAUCUCAAAUUAAAGCCAGGAAUGUCUAGUUUCAAACGCCACUGACGGCACUUGAUUUCGACACCCGAGGACAGAGUUAUGGCCAAAAUGCUACUGCUGGACAGCGUUACCCGAAAAUAAUUUUCCAGCUUGUCUAGUUCACGAAUAAAUUCAUUUGCCCAUCCAAACGUUAAUGUUUUCCAACGAAAAUUUUUACACAUAUAGUAUAACAUAUAAACAUCAGGUUCAUGCCAAUAAAUCACCAAAAAUUGGCCUUAUAGUGGCCGAACAAAACAGGGGCACUUUCGGAAAUUUCUUGUCAUGACCUCAACUUUGAGUUUCCAACAAUAAUACUCCAUAAAUCCAUCAUUUUAACCACUAAACUACCAUUAAAUCCAACAUUAAUCCUCUAAUCAGCAACAACAACCCAAGUGUGGGAAUUCCAAGAGCCCACUUUCACAAUUUCCAACUAUAUCAAGCCAUCCAUACACAUGCAAUAACUUAAAGAUGCAUUUCUACCAUCAUAAUCCAAGUUUAAGGUGUAGGAUGAAGUUAUACCUCCUUAGUGCCUUAACCCAGAAAUUUUUGGCCCUCAAGAGCUCCAAGAAAUCGUGAAAAUGCAGCCCUUUAGUUAGCUAAAUCCCACCUCCAAGUAGUUUGCUAGAUGAUCUUCAAGUUUGGUGAAGAUUGGUUGAGGUUUUGGGUUGAUUUGAUGAAGGAAUUUGUGAAGCAAGAGAGUGAGUGAGAGGGGGGUGUUGGCCGGCUGCUAGGUGAGAGAAGAUGGAGAGUGAUCAGAUUUCUUUUAGCUUCCAAGAGAAGAUUAAAUGAGUGCGCACAUUCACUCCAAAGUCAACUCUUAUUAGGGCUCGUUUGGCACGUUUUAGGCUCGAUUUUCUCGCGCGUUUGGUUCACUAGUGCACUGAACCUCCAAUGCAUUUAUAUUCAUGUAAGUAUUAUUCACUCUUAAUUGUCUCGAAAUAAGGGUCUAAAGUCCCUCAAAUAAAGUCGCGCGUGUGAAAACGCAUACCGUCAAUUUUAACGCCAUAACGCGAAACUUCCAAUAAAUUCUUAUAACGAUUGCACUACUAACUAUCACUUGAGUAUUUAUUCAUAAGAUUACCUAUUUUAGGACCAUAGUACAAGUCUCCAAUAUUCCAAGCUUAUUGUGCUCCUACGCGGAUAAAAUCUCCAAGCACUAUUCACUAUUUUUACUAAACGCGCUCCAGGAAAUUAAUUUUUGAAACGAGUCUCUUUAAAAAUAUAACGAAGUUAUAUUACUAUGUAUUUAGGUCUAAUAAGACUAGAAAAUAUUCCUUGGGAUAAAAAUCCAAUUAAAUAAUUUAUUAAGCCAUAAAUUAGGCAUAAAAUAAUAGUUUUUACGAGUCCUCACACUAAACACCCUCAACUUUAGCCUCGGUUGUUGAUUGCUCCCUCAAACUCUUUUAUGAGCACUUAACCCCUCAUAUUUUCUUAAUUACAUUUGUAUCUAAUUAUGAUGCCCCAAAACAAAAUCUUAUGAGGGUCUAGAUCAACUACUUGGCAAGGCUAGUGGUUGGUUCUCAUCAAUGGAAUACCUAAUCUAUUUUGAAUUGUACUUAAUACUCAUUUUUUAAAUUUCACUUAUUCCUAGAUUUUUUGAAAAACUAUAAGAAUUUAGCCUGAAAAAGGUGCACUAGUAGAGAUUUAAUUAAUGAAAGAUAGACAUAUAAUUACAAGAAGCUACAUAUAGCUACCAAAUUAGGAUUUGACUUUAAUACAAAUUUUCUCUUUCUUAUUAAGAUGAGUGUAUAAGUGGAGUGGAGGGAGUUUGGGUGUAGACACCAAAUUUUUGGUGUAAUUUCAUUUACUGUUUAUUUUAGUUUGUUUAUUUGUCCUGUUAGUUUUAUUCGAUUUUUAGUUUUUAGUUUAUAGUUUUAUUUUUAUUUUUAAGUUUUUAGCAUAGAAUUUCUUGAAAUGAAAAAUAGAGAGAGAAAAAGGAAAAAUGAUGAAAAAUGCAAAAUGAAAGAAAAAGAAUGAAAAUGGCAAAAAAUAGGUGGAAGUGUGCAUGUGGAACAAGUGUACAAAACAAUCAUGGGACAAGUGUCCCUUUUGUUUAAUUGACAACACAACAUUUUGGUUUGCUUCUUCUGGGUUUAUGAUUUGGGCUUGGAAACUUGAGGCCCUUAAUUUUGUAUGAGCUAGAUUAGUGAAAAUGAUGGGCUAGCCAGAUUGUUUUCCUUGGACUUCCGUUUGGGCCGAAUGAUCUUUAGCCCAAACAAAUAAAUGAAAUAGCCCAAUAGCCUGGUCCAUGAAGAAACCAGAAAACGAUUUUUGUAAAUCAGCCCCUGACUUUCUCUUUAACUAUACUGUGGCCCUGGAUGUCUUCAAUUUCUUUCAAUUCGGUCCUUACUUUAAUUGCAAAUGAGUCCCUGAACUUUAUUUUUCUUUAAUUUUGACCCCAAGACUUUAUUAAUUUUUGCAAUCAAGUCCUUUCUUCUUGUGACUUCUUAAAUGUGGUUUGUUGACAUGAUUUAAUUGAUUCAAAUUCAUGUUUAUUUUUUAUCCUUUGUGAUUAUUUGCCAAAUAAAUUGGUGCCUUGACCAUUUCUUUUAUUUUGGAGGAUAAAUAAGUUGAUUUCACUCCAUUAGAGCUUCAUUUCAAGGGAGGUAUAAUUUCUUUUAUCCCUUUUGUCUCUCCUAUGUGAUCCAAUGUGCUAAGUGUGAAUCGCAUGCCUAAUUUGCUUUCAUUACCAUUCUUUAGUUCCAUUAUUUCAUUCCUUCUUGCUUUUAUUAAAUUACUCUUUUAAAUGGGGUAUGUGUACACCUUUUGGCUUGUAAUAGAUAGGGCUGUGGCGAGCAAUUUGGUCCAUUUUCCCUUUCCCCUUUUGUUUUAGUUAGUGAAUGUAGUAAGUUCAUUAGCUUGGUUGCAUGCCUAUGUGUUACUUGUUACUUGCUUUAUUAGGGCCUUGCAUCUAGUCGAGCCUGCUAAAUGUUACGUGCUACGUGUUUAUGAGUAUUUGGUAUAUCUACUUGCUUUCCAUAGUGUGGAUGAAUGGAAUGGAUGAAUGUACGUCACCACACUAGUCCAAUGCUAGUUGUGGCUUCUUUUAUCAUUUCCACUAGUCCAACGCUAGUCGGAAUUCAUAGAAUGGGCUAGUCCAACGCUAGACCCUUAGGGUUUUUCCCUCGUUAGUACAUCAUUUGCUUGUUCACCACAUAUCACGCAUUUUCCUUAGUUUUAUCAUUUGGCAUGAUCCUCGAACCCCUUUUCCUCUCAUUUUAGGUUUUGCAUCCCAUACUAGCUAUAGGGUUCAUUUUGCUUGAGUGUCCCCUUAAAUAUGGGAUAUAGACGAGUGUGGCUUUUUCUAAGCCUUAGCACGCUUGUAUCCUCUCUAUCAAAGGGCAAAUUGAGUCACGAUUUAGGUCUCCCCGUACCCAUUAUGCAUGAAUUCCCUAGGUUCAUGCAUCCACUCUAUCAUUACACUUUCAUUUUUUCCUCCCAUUUGCACACGUACACCUUUUAUCCCUCCAUUUGCACACGUACACCUUUUAUCCCUUCAUUUGCACACGUACACCUUGUAUCCCUUCACUUGCACACGAACACUUUUAUCCUCACUUGCACACAUGCACUUCAUAUUAUCAUUUCACAUACCGCACCUUGCCCACUCACGUGCACAUUUUCACUUACAUAUUAUUGUCUUUUAUUACUUUUUCAAACUCAUGUCCUCACAUUGCAUACAUGCAUUCCAUUCAUUUGCAUCCCACUCGCAUUAUUCGUGACUUCUUCAAAAGGAUCGUUAUUGGGCUUCACAAUUAAUGUGAUUGGCACCAUUCAACUUUUGAAGGGAAAUUUCCCCCAAUACCCCUAGGUCUAGGGUUUGCAUUCAUGUAGUGCAUCCAAAUGUAAUAAAUUCUUUGGUUAAAACAAGAAAAUCUUUGAUUAAAUCAACGCAACUAGCCUUGGCUAGGUCGAAGGGGUGCCUUGGAAUUUAUCCUUACCUUCCCCUUUGUCAAAUGUGACUCCCGAACCUUUUUCUUUGGUUUACGUGGACUAGGAGUCGUUUAAAAGGGGUUUCUUACUACUUUUUCCUAAUUUUUUCUUAAAAAAUUCAUUUUUGGGUGACUUGGUACACCCUAACUCUAUACAAAGUGGCGACUCCAUUUUUCAUAUAAAAAACCCUUUUUGAACUAUUUUUCUUGGGUCAAAUCGUCGCAUUUUCAAAAGUCCCAUUUAGACCCAUUUUUUUCUUUUAAAUCACAAAUCCAUUUUUCAAACCAUUUAUUUAUUUCAUCAAAAAAUGGGGCGCGACAUUGGGAAGAAAAAGAGAAUAACAAGAUAAUAAGGAAGUAGAGAGAGAAGAAAAAUGAAGAAGUCUAUUUCUAUGAUAUUUACUUUUAAGGUUGAUCAUUGUAAGAUCAAUUUUAGAGUUGAUACUUUUUUUAAAAAGAAUAUGAUCUCCAUACUUUAAGAUCCCCAAAAAAAAUCAAUAAUUUUUUGAUAAAAAGUAUAAUAAAUAUAUCAAUAUUUAUAUAAAUAAUCCCAACUAAUUAAUUCAACUACUAUUACUUUAGGAGAAGAGAUGAGAAAUAGCCAUUCAAGUCUUUUGCCUUAUUUUGAUGUAUUUGCCAAAUUAAAGUUGUUAUACUGCACUAUAAUCAAUUCUAAUAGAGUAUCUAGUAUACAAGAAUGGGUUAUUUACCUCAAUUUUGUGGUCCUAAGUUGAAAUUAGAGAAAUAUUUUCUUUUUUUAUUUAUUUUCUAGAAGUCAAUUUCUAUAAAAUAGAUUUUUAGAGUCGAGAUUGGAGAGAUCAACUUUUGAUCAUACCCCUCAUAUGAAAUGCAAGAAUGUCCAGAGUGGAAAGGUUGUUCCAUCCGAAAUAUGUUUUUGCUCAGAAUACUAGGGAGAAAAUUUAUGGUUCUAAUGUCUAUUACACAAGUCAAAAUGGAAUAUUCAUUCAUUUUCUAAUAUUUGGUAUAAUCAAUAUUUAGAAAUCAGAAUGGAACAUAAUUAUUACAAAUUUAACUUGAUUGCCCUUGAUUUGUUUAUAAGAUAUAACAUGCUUAAUUACUUUUGUUUUAUUUGUUUUACUAUGUUAUUUGUUUAUUCAUGUAUAAUUUUGACAUUGUUUUUCUUUCAGAGUAGUUGAGGAUUGAUAUUAAAAUUUUGCAAUUGUAAAAAAUCAUUCAUUCUAACAUACAAAUUUUCAUAUUGAAAUUUUGCAUCCGCUAGCAAUAUGAUUAGCCAUAUCAAAUAUAAAUUACAUUAGUCCAACACAAGUGAUAAAUUUUUAUUACAUUUUCAUUUUUAUAUGAAAUUCAAAAAAUUAUGCAUAAUUAUUCAAAAGCCAAAGAAUGAUGUAUUUUGAAUAUUUUUUGUUAGUUAAAAUGAAACAUUUAUAUUAAAUACAACAAAAUUAUGUAUUAUAAACAAAUUUCCAUUCAAUUAUUAAUUGGGCUCACAAGUAUCCUAAGAUAUAGAUAUAUAAUAAAAAGAUUUAUAAGGAUAAACUUGACAUUUUGCUAUUUGGGGCAGUCUAGGAUAAAUUUGAAAUGAACUUUCUCUAAGACCUUUUUGAUAAUCCAAUUCAACACUUAAAUUUAAUGGAUUUAGAUCUUUUUGUGAUAGGAAAGAUCAUUUCAUUCAAAUAAAUUUGCACUAAUGGCAAAAAAUACAUCAAACAAAUAUGACACAGAUACAUAUAGAUCUGAAAUCACUAGAUAUAACAAAUCUAAGAAAACAAUACAAAUAAAAAUAACAUUGAUACUCCUAUAUAUAUCUUCCAUCCGGAUGAAUCACUGUAACCCAAUAAUCAGUGCAUAUCUACUGACAAUCAGAUCUAAUUAAAACUUUUUCAAUUCCAAACAGAAAUUUAGAUCUAACAAGGGUGAGCCAUCGUUGGUGAUAUCCCGUCAAGAUAUGAUACAGAUAGCAGCACCUUACUCUAACGCACUGGUUGGCAGAUUUGCAGUAGGCCGCCCUUCCAUGGAGAUUAUUCGCAAAUUUAUCGUUUCUUUGGGGCUGAGGGGUGAGUGUCCGAUAGGCUUAUUAGAUUCCAAGCACAUUCUUUUACGUCCAUCCGUGGAGGAAGAUUACACCAGGCUUUGGUGUCGCAAGUCUUGGUACAUUGGCAAGUUUCAUAUGUCCCUGUCGAAAUGGACAAUCGAUUUUAAACCAGGAGCAGAGUCAUCAAUUGCACCAGUUUGGGUCAAUUUUCCGGGUCUUCCAUUGCCGUUUUUCGAAAAGCAAUUUCUGCUUAAGCUGGGUAACUUACUUGGCCGACCCUUAAAAGUGGAUGAAGCUACGGCUUCACUAAAGCGUCCUUCUGUAGCCCGUAUAUUGUUGGAGGUCGAUGUAUUGCAUUCUCCCAAAUCCAGGAUUUGGAUUGGAGAUGAUCAGUGGGGUUUUUGGCAGAAAAUUGAGUAUGAAGAAUAUCCUUCUUAUUGUGCUUUUUGCUCGUUGAUUGGUCAUACAGAAAAUAUCUGUCAUAAAAAACAUCCGGAAUUGCGGCCUGUGCGCCGUUCUAGACCAUCACCUAAGCCUCACGUCAGACAAGUCUUUCAACCAAAGGGGGUAACUGCUGUUGAUGAAUCUCUUCCUGUUGUGGAUUCUGGGAUUGUAAUAGUCCCGAGAGUAAAAGAGCAUGAAAACAGUACUUCUGCAACGGAUGUUUCUACUUCUGUUAUUCCAUCAUCGUCUUCUAACCCUAUUAGAGGUAAUUCUCCUCAAGCUAAUGUACCUGUUCAUGAUCCUGUUCUCCCUAAUACAACUCUGGGGGUUGAUGCAGAUACGCAGAAUGUUAUCUCUGUAGUCACCCUUGUUCUCCCAGAUUCUUCUUCUCCGAUUAAAGCUUUAUCGGACAAAAUCCCUACCUCCGCCCGGGAUGACAAUCUGUUGCCUAUUCCGUCUGCGUCUUUAGUACCGCACCAUGAGCGGAAUUAUUCUUCUCUCUCUCCUUGACGGUACCACGGUCAUGUUCGACUGGUGCGGUCUAAUUCCGAAGGCCAAUCAGGGGUGCAAGGUCUUUCCUUGGUUGAUUUAAAAAAUUUUCAUGAUCGGCUGCCCAACAGAAUCAUUGCAUCUAAGCUUUGCUGCGAUCCGUUUGUUACUGGAGUAUCUCUGGAUGAUACCGACACUCAAUUACUGCAAAAUUUGAUCCAAGGCCGCAAGGGUCGUAGUAGACAGGCCAGGAAACGAGAAGGUAUGACUUCAUCUGCUCAUUAUAAUCUUCGGUCUAAUAAUGUUAAAUCCGAUUAAGUUUAUAGUGUGGAACAUUCGUGGUGCUUCGAACAAGGAGUCAUUACGGCAUAUUCAUUUCACUUGUAGAUCAAACAAUAUUCGUUUACUGAUUCUAUUGGAGCCAUUAGCCAAUGUCUCUCAUUUGGAGAAUGUGCAACUGUUCUUGGGUUUGAUUUUGCUCGGUCCUUCGUGCACAACAAAAUUUGGAUAUUCUGGUGUUCAGAUGCUCGAUAUUCUUUUGUAGAAGCCUCGGAUCAAUUAGUUCAUAUAUGCGAAGUGUAACAGAAUUGGUAGGAGACGGUUAUGGGAGGCUCUGGAGCAAUUUUCCACGUCUAUUACUCUUCCAUGGAUUGCCGUAGGGGACUACAACGUUAUUUCUUCUGCGGAGGAAAGGAUUGGAGGAUCAGCCCCGAAUAUUCGUGAUUUGGAAGAAUUCAACUCUGCUUUAAAUCGGAGUGGUCUAUUUCCAGUUCAGUUCGAUGGGUCUGCUUACACAUGGACAAAUGGUCGCAUGUGGCAGCGACUUGAUCGAGCGGUCGUUAAUAGCGUUUGGCUGUCUGAUAUUGAGAUGACUCGAGUUGCUCAUCUUCAGAGAAGGCGGUCUGACCAUUGUCUGUUGCUGGUCAGGGGAGGAAGUACGGCAACACGACGGUCUUCCUUUCGAUUUCUUAAUGUCUGGCGAGGUCAUUCCAAUUUUCAACAAACAGUAAGGUCUGCUUGGGCUCAGCCUGUUUCUGGAGUUGGAAUGCAGAAAUUCUUUAAUAAAUUGCAGGUGGUUAAAAGAGUUUUAUCUAGAUGGAAUGUGGAUGUAUUUGGGAAUGUCUCUCAAAGGGUCAAAGUGGCAGCGGAUAAUUUAUUGGCCAAGGAAAUUUUGUAUAAUCAAAACAGAGACACGUUGUCUAGGACGGCAGUUCAUGAGGCAAGGGCAGUUCAUUCUCGGGAGCUAGCGUUGGAAUGUGAAUUCUGGAGACAAAAGGCAGCGAUCAAAUGGAUCAAAGAGGGCGACGCUAAUACCUCUUUUUUUCAUGCAGCAGUUAAGCAGAAACGCAGCUCUAAUUUUAUUGCACGAAUUAGGGGCAACGGGGACAGUUGGUUUGAUAGUGUCGAGGAUAUUAAGCUGACGGCGAGUGAUUUUUUCUCCUUUUUGUUCACAGCAGACCGCGCUGUUUGCUCUGGCAGCAGACCAUCACUUGAUCUGCCCAAGCUUACGCAAGAGGAGAACGACAUGCUGCUGAAAUCACCAUCGGUAGAAGAAGUUUAUACGGUAAUAUGUUCGUUUGACCCUCAGAGUUCUGCGGGGCCUGAUGGUUUUGGAGGGGGUUUUUAUCAAAGUUGCUGGGAGUGUAUAAGGGACGACUUCAUGGACACGGUGAAGGAUUUUUUCGCUGGUGCCACAAUGCCCCGCAGAUUUUCAAGUACAACGAUCACAUUACUGCCCAAAAAGGAAGGUGCAUGUGAGUGGAAAGAUUUCCGACCAAUAAGCUUAUCUAACGUUAGUUCAAAGAUCAUUUUUAAGAUUUUGUCUACCCGCAUUAAUCAACUCAUUCCUAAGUUGAUUUUAGAGUUUCAGACUGGCUUUAUCCCAGGUAGGGGAAUACAAGAUAAUGUUCUGCUAGCUCAGGAAUUAAUUCUAGAUUUGGACAAGAAACUGCGUCACCCUAACGUAAUAUUGAAAUUGGAUAUGGAGAAGGCCUAUGACAGGGUGGACUGGUGGUUUUUAUUAUACAUGCUUCGUGAAUUUGGCUUUAAAGAAAGUGUGGUAGAUCUGAUUUUUCGAUUAAUAUCCAACGUUUGGUUUUCUGUCAUGGUUAAUGGGGAGCUCACGAGCUUUUUCAAGUCGACUAGAGGGGUUCGUCAGGGGGAUCCUUUAUCUUCCACUCUUUUUCUUUUUGUCUCGGAAUUUCUUGGAAGGGGCCUUCAGCAGCUGUUUACUAGCAAUCCAGGAUUUAGAUUUUUGACUAAGGGAGGGCUGGUCCCGUUUCUUGCUUUUGCCAAUGACGUGAUUAUUUUCACGCGGGCAUCGUCUGAAUGUCUGCAGGCUGUGUUGUCCUUUCUACGAGAAUAUCAAACUCUUCCUGGCCAAAAAAUUAAUCUCUCCAAGAGUCGUUUCCUUUGUUCGUCGAAGCUUUCUUCGGAUGUUAUCAACUUAAUUCAGCAAGUAACGGGAUUUCAAGGGCAGUCUUGGCCUGUCAAAUAUUUGGGAGUUCCACUUUCUCUUGGCCGUAGUAAAAGUGUCUUAUUUGAUGGAGUUAUUGCUUCCGUUAGAGCAAAGCUUCAUCAUUGGAGUUCCCGGUUUCUUUUUGCUAGGGGGAAGCUCAUCUUGCUUCGUCAUGUGUUGAAUUCAAUGCCUCUUUACCUCUUGCAAGUUACUAAACCACCUAAGCGGAUUUUUCUUAGAUUGGGCAAGCUAUUUAAUGCAUUCUUGUGGGAUGGCAAGGAUGGUAGACGGAUUCAUUGGUCUUCCUAGGAAAAAUUAUGCUUUCCAGUCGAAGAAGGGGGGUUGGGAUUUUGAUCACUGUUGGACUUAGAGAAGGCUUUUGCAAUGAAAUUAUGGUGGAGAAUACGUCAAAAGAGCUCUCCUUAGGCCAGAUUUAUGCACCGUAAGUACAUUGGUGAACAGUACCCAUUCUUGUCUGCGGUUGCUGUUGGGUCGGCAACAUGGAAGCGGGUCUGUUCGGUUCGGGCUAUAAUUGAAGACAAUAUUCGUUGGCGGCUUGGUGAGGGAUUCAUCAAUUUGUGGCAUGAUCGAUGGCUAUUCGACGAACCUCUUAGCAGACAGUUUGCUGGUGUGCCUCCUCAUUUUUUAGUAGUUGAGUUUUAUACCUCUACGGGGUGGAAUACUGAACGUCUCCUCCAAGUUCUUCCUCGAUCUGUUGUUAAUAUUAUUUCACAAACACUUGUUGAUCCGACCCUUAAGGAUGAAUUGGUUUGGGCUCCUUCAGCGGAUGGUACAUUCACUGUGUCGUCAGCCUGGGAUUUAGUUAGACAGCGGCGUAACCUGUCAUUGGUUUGGCGUGGAAUUUGGUGUCCUUUGCUGCCUUUAAAAAUGUCAUACUUAGUUUGGAGGGUAUUGGCUGAUUUUCUUCCUCUGGACGACAAGCUCCGUUCUAGAGGAAUUUCCAUGGUUUCCAAAUGUGAUUGCUGGGGUAAUGCAGUGGAGUCUUUGAAUCAUAUUUUUUUGCAUGGCAGGUUAGCAAGUGCUAUUUGGCAGCACUUCUUUCUGGCUUGCGGAAUUCCGUGGGGGUCAUUCUCAUGUGUUUCUUCGCUGCUAGUGGUGUGGUUUCAAUCUUCUGGGAAUGGGCGAUUGGAUCAUGUUCGGUGUGUUAUACCAGUUGUAGUGUUAUGGUUUCUGUGGCGUAGUAGAAACGAUGCUCGGUUUGGAAAUAUCCCCCCUGUCUAUUCUAAAGUUAUUUUCGAUAUCAAUGGGUGGUUGGUUGCUACGGGGGCUGCACGCAUGCUGAACAGAUUUCAGUUGGAGGGGGAUACGGAUACGUAUUUUGCACGUUACUUUCAGAUCAAACCAGCUAAAUCCUUAUGUCCAAAGGCUAUAUCAUGGAUGAAGCCUCCUCGAGGGUCAAUCAAACUUAACACUGAUGCAAGUGUGUCAAAUGGUUUGUCUAAAGGCGGUGGAGUGAUACGAGAUUUUGAAGGGAAGAUGCUUGGUGCUUUUUAUAAGGAAUUCGGGGAAUAUGAGGUGGUACUUGUGGAGGGCUUAGCAUUGUUAACUGGUCUACAGUGGUGUGUUGGAACAGGGUUGUCAGAUAUUUUGGUGGAAGUGGAUUCACUAGCGUUGGUACGGUUGGUUACUAGUCAAUCUGUUGGUAAGUGGCCGUUGUGUAGCGUCUUAAGUCAAAUUCGAUUGUUACUAUGCAAGGUGAAGGGGACCAUUACACAUAUUUAUCAUGAGGCGAAUGCCGUGGCAGACAACUUAGCUGCUUUAUCUCUGGAGAGUCCAUAUGUUACUUUCCAAUCUCAUCAGCAACUUCCAAGUAGAGCUCGGUCGUUGAUUAAUUUGGAUGCAAUAGAUUAUCCAUAUAUUCGCAACUUUAAUGUUUAGGAAUAGUACUCCUAGUUCUCUGGCAUGUAUUGAAGGUUGGGACUUUUCCCUCCUUCGUAUUUUUAGCGUUUGCAAUUAAUAAAAGUUGGGGAGUUUUCCCCUUUUGGAAAAAAAAAAAAGAUCUACAAAAUCUAAAAUUUCACAGAGAUAAAAAUCUAAAAAACUCUCAUAAGGAAAAAUCCAGAAGAGAAUAAAACUCUCACUAGAACAAUUUAGGAGAGAAGAAACUCUUACUAGGAGAUCCUAGAAGAGAAGAAUCUCUCAUUAGAAAAUUUAUUCAAAUAAGAGAAACUAAAAACUAUAAAAAGUACAUCCUCCCAUGAGGAAAGACCAGAUUUAGUCUCCCUCUCAUGAGAGAAAUGAAGAAGAUCUUGAUUGGAAGAGUUCUAGAGAAAAAUGAGAGAAAAGAGUUUUUUUUAAUGGAUUCAAAUCUUUACAUGUUUAGAUACGUAUAAUAAUCAAAAAUUGAAUAUUUGAAUUAAUUAACUGGCAUUGAAUUUCCUAGGCAAAACUUGUUCCAAAAAAUAAGUAAUGAGUUAUUUGCAUAUUACUUAAUGUGAUAUACACUCAAAUAUCUCAGAUUUUGUAUUUAACAAUUCAUUAAUUUAAUGGGUUCGGAUUUCAUGUUUUAAAUUUCAAAUUUCAGAUUUCAAAAUUCAAUUUUAUCAAACGUACCUUAAGUUUUCUUGAAGAAUGGAGAUUUAAAGAAAAAGUUGAAGUAAGCAUUCUACGAGGAAAGGGCUCUCGCACUUAAACGAUCAUGCCAAGUAGGGAUGACAGUAAGGUGAGGGAACCCUCCUGCCCUCACUGCGAAACCCCAAAACUCCCUUUGUGCCCUGUCCUAUCACCCACCACCCUUACCUCAACCACAUCUCUCGCCUCACUCUGUUGCCUCCGUGGGUGCCCUCACCUGACCUCGAUGCUAUUUUCUUUUUAUAUUUUAUUUUAUUUUAAUAUGUAUAACACUGAUAAUAAAUCUACUAAUCAUUCUUUUGAAUUUUCAGCAAAAAUUUUAACAUGAGAAAGUUUAGAAAUUAUUUUGAUUAUGUGAAUCUGUUUCUCUAUGUUUGAUACUACACAAGAUGUAAAUCAAUUAUGAUUUUUUUUAUAAACUACAUGCCAUAAGAACAAAAAGUAAAUUAACAUAAAGAGAUUAUCAUUUAACCACAAAAAAAUUAACAAGAAGGAUUAUAUCAUUUUAUCAUUAGAAAAUAUCAUAUUAUCAAUUUAAUAUUAUGUGUAUAUAAUUAAUUAUAUUAUGUAUUUUAAAUUAUAUACAUACAUACAUAUAUAUAUAUGUGUGUGUGUAUUUAUGUAUGUAUAUGUAUGUAUGUGUGUAUGUAUAUAAAAUUUAAGUAGGGGGCAGGACAGGGAAUACUCCUAUGCCGUUUAAAAGUGGAGAGAGUUUUCUCUCUCCGCCACUAUCCCCACAUUUCCCCCACCCCGCAUUUUCCCACACCACAUAGGCAUCCGUCCUCAUUGCCAUUUUUAAUACCAAACUCAAAAUUGAAUGGAAAAGUUGGAAGGAUAUUUCCCUUUUAGGCCAUUCUUGCAUACCGAACAGUGUAGAGUGUGAGUAUCGACAACCAGAGUAGCUUUAAUACGACCCGCUUCAAAGUUUUAUGAAAGUAAGAGAGAGUUCUUCCUGCAAUAUUGGGAAGAAUAGAAAGGAGCGCAUUGUUUAUAGGGUUGUUUCACUGUGUAGAACAUUCUGAAUCAAUAAUUUAUUAGAUUUAUAUCAGUGAAUGCAAUUUUAACCACUCUUCACACUUCUAUAACCACAAAUUCUUUUCAAGUUCUUUUCUUGCCUUUUUAAGCAAAUUCCAAUUUUAAUAAUGAUCAUUGUCUACAAGAUAUGCCAAAUGGUUGGAUCAAGCUGGACAAAAUUGUACCUAUUGAUGCAAGCUAUAAUUCAAUCUCUAUUAAUCCAUUUUUUCAUUACAAAGAAUCUACUGCUUUCAUAAGUAUUAUAUGAGAUAACUACGAAGGAGGAAGUAAGAAGAGAGUUUGAAAGCAAAGAUAGAAGAAACUCUGUGAGAACCCGUAAAUUUUCUUAUUUUCUAGGGUUUUAUUUUAUUUAAUCGCACGUUUUCUGUAAUUUCUUUAUUAGGAAAAAUUUUCUAAAUCAUUUUUAUGAGUAAAUAGGGUUUUUAAAUCAAUUUUCUAAUAUAAGUGAGUUAAUGAGAUUUUAGAAGUGGAUACCGGGCGUGGGACCCGCUAGUGCCGAAAGUUCGGUAAAAUUUGGCCAGUUAGGUUAAGUUUCAUCUACCGAAAUUAAUUUACUAGGUGUUAAGAGAUAAUUAGAGGUGACUAGAUGGAUUGGUAUGAGAGGGACAAGAGGAUAGCCAUGCAUUAAUGGUGGUGACAAGUGUCACUUGGAGAGUAAUUCUUACCUUUGACCACUAUUCACUACUUUACCAAUUAAAUCAAAAAUUGACUCAAAAAUCACCCAAAUUUCAAGCUUCUUGGCCGGCCAUCUCCAAGGGAAAAGAAAGAAAAACUCUCAACUUUCUUGCUUCUCAUCUUGCACAAUCUCUCAAUUUAACCGAUUAAACUUGAGUUUCCUCAAUAAAAACCCCUAAUCUAGUGGUAGUAAGGUUGGUUGUGAAGUGGUUUGGAAGAUUAAGGUGCUAAGUUGCUUCCUUUCUUGGGUUGGUAAGGUGAGUAGCUAAGGGACCUCUCUUUUCUUUCCAAUAAUGCUUAAUUAGUGACCUUGUGACAGCCCCACUUUCCCCUAAGUCGAACCAAAGGGGUUAGCGGACUGCCUGCCAAACUCUCGCCAGGACUAACGGUGCAGUUCAGAGCGAUCUAUUGCGUUCCGAAACUUAUAACGUGCGUAAACAAGGCAAAAGGGCAAAAUAAUCCAAAAUAAAAAAAAUGAAAUUCGGAGUCGACCAUGAAUAGUAACCGACCCGUCAGAACGCAAUCAAAUAUCAAACAAACUUUCAUAUCUUGAACGUUAGCAAUUACAAUCCAAAGUGACAUACAAAAAUUUACAAAAGUUAAUAUAUACACGGUUUGCCAAAUUGAAAGUGAAAACGACCCUAAAGAUACAUUUAGGUUUCACUUCAUAUACAAUACAAAAGAGAUAUACAUCUAGUUCUUUCGGCAAUCAUCUAUCAAGAUUCAUUCCAAAAAGAGUCAUAUUCCUGUAAGGAAAACAAAAGGAACGGUGUGAGCUAAUUACCCAAUGAGAUACUAUCACUUACGCAACCAAGUGCAUAUAAGCAUCAAGCUUUCAAUCAAUAUAAUAAAAAUAAACAAAGGCACACGUCAAAUAUGGUGAGAAAAGGAUACAGAUGGCUCUCAACAGCCCUUUCCUCGUUUGCAUUUCUUGAUCGGACGUCAUUGACCCUCCGUCAAUGUUCAAAAAUAACCAACCGUAGACUCCACUUACCUCCACUCCUUCCACCUAACAUUCCCCUACCGGGCCCGAACUCCAAACACUUGCACUUUGGUAUUACUCGAGUAUACCGGAAUCGAGAGUCUCGCAUACUACAAGAUUCCAUAUAACUUUACCCAAGGUUCAUUAAUUGGCACGACCAAUCCCUCGCCGGCUCGAUUCAAUCAACUACCAAUGGGGUUGAGCUCAUUGAUAACAUUUGUAGUCGUUGGAUACUCGUCCAAUCGACACCAAGUCGAGUACUUUCAUUUCAUGUAACAUUUCAUGUAACAUUCCAAUAACAUAACAACAAUGAUAUAAGGCAUAUAAGUGAGAGUGAUAAAGUACACUUUCACUGCAAUCAAGUCACAUUCAAUUCACUUCAAGCAAUUUACAUUCAAAGCCAUAUAGUAACACACAAGUGAGUAGUACACUCACCAGGGUCAAUGCAGAUACCUCCCAAAAGAGAGCUUUAAUCACCAAUAAACCCUAAAAUAAUCCAAGGAAAACAAUUGAAGGUUCCACUUUCAAAAUUGAGUAUACAGAAUGCACAUGUGAGGCUCGACUACCAGUCGUAUGCCUCGCCAAAUUUACUAAAGCAAGGGUGCAAAACAUGAUUUUUGGUAACGAAAAGGUAACAUGAAGACCUAGGCUCAAAAAAAAAACAACCCAAAAGCCCUUUGCUCAAAACACAAGUAAAUCCAACUAGCCUUCAAGUAAAAUUUCGGCAGCAUAUCCUUGUGUUUACCUAUUUUCCAGCCAUCAUGGCUUCAUUAUUUCCUCAAAUCAGUCCCAACAUCUUGUACAAAAAUAAUCUCAUUCCCAAAAGCCGUUCACUAGGCUUAAUGGUAUUCAAAUACAAAAUUUAGCUAGGAAAUAACCGAAUAUGAAAGUCAAGCCCUAACUAUUCAAAUGAACACAAUAAGACUCGAUUACAAGUCAUAAACCAAUUCUAUAUACUACCAAAAUAGGGUUCCCUAAGCAUACACAAACAUUAAAGGAAACCAGAAAAUUCGGAAAUGCAAUUAGCUUUGGCCUUGAAAAAAAAACAGUUUUUGUCCUCGUUUUGCGGUAAUGGCACCAAUUUCACUACGAUUAUCGGAUGAGCGUACAAGACCCACCAUCUCGAAGCUAAAAGACAGGGCUGCAACAUCACAGAAGGUCACUCAACCCAGUUUUGAGUUCAAACAGGUCAAAAAUGCAAGAUACUAAUCAAAAACGUAAAACAGAUUCACCAAAACGCAUUCUAGCGGAAACAUCAUAACUCAGACUCUCCAAGUCCAAAUCCAAAAAUUCCAAAACCAGCUGAAAGCUAAGGAACAGGGCUACAUUUCAUCAGAAGACCUCAACAACCAAUUCGGAAGCAAUUCCAGCCAAAACAACCAAUUACAGGCUCAAUUCUUGCAUUCGGGUAAAACUAGAACAGCAAUAGUAAUUUUGACUUUUCUCACUCUAUGCUACUCCGAUUGACCUGAAAUUUUGUAGGCACCUCUAAAAUGUUAUUCCCUACAACUUUUAUGUUUUAAGCUAAGGCCAAUUCGGCCUCUAACUAGGAGCUAUAAAUUCGGGCAGAAUGUUCCUUCAUGAACCCUAGGUUUUUCAAUUUUCUUCCAAAACAGAAAUUGGUUGCAAUUAAUCACUUUUUCCACCUUCUAGAUGCCUUAAACAUCAUUUCCAAUCAUCAUACAUUGUCACACAAUCAUGCUUAUAUUAAAACAGAAAAAUCCCCAAAAAUAAUAAAACUUCAUCAUUUCAACCACAAAUCAAGAAAUAAUCCAUAAACUUUCAUCUUAUACUCCCACUAAGCAUGAUUUAAGCAUCAAUUAAAGGAGGAGGGUGGUUCUUCACAACUUACCUUAAAAACAAGAGAGAGAGAGCUAUAGGUCCUCCUAGCUUUCCAAAUCACUCCACCAAUCAACUUACUAACACUAAUUGAAGAGGUUUUAUGGAGUAAGUUCAAGUUUCAAUGGUUGGUUUCGAUGAUUUUGAGCAAAAUGGAAGCAAAACUUGAAGAGUUUCUUCCUUUCUUUUUGAGAGAGAGGGCCGGCCAACAAGGGAGAAGAAAUGAAGAAUUUUUGGUUGUUUUUUGAUUUAAUUAGUCAAUUGGUAAGACCAUGAAUAGUGGUCUUAAAGGUAGACCACUCAAAUGGUGACACUUGUCACCUUUUAUUAAAUAUCUAUCUAACUUGUCUCUCUCAUAUCAAUCCAAAUUGCAACCUCUACUUAUCUCUUAACACCCAAUAAAUUAAUUCCAGUAUCCAAAACUUAACCUAGUUGGCCGAAUGUUUUCGAACUUUUCGCACUAGUGGGUCCCACGUCCGGUAUACGCUCUUAAUUUCUCAAAACCUAUUCGAUACUAGAAAAAUCAUCUAAAAAUUAUAUCUGCUCCUUAAAUUCAUCUAGAAAUUUUUUUUCUAAUCACGAAAAUGCGGAAAACAAGCCACGGAAAAUAAUAAAACCUAGAAAAUGGAAAAAAAAUACGGGUUCUCACACUCUCUCCCCCUUAAAGAAAUUUCACCCUCGAAAUUUUACCUUCAAAAUUUAAAGUAACCAAUGGCCUGUACCUUCUCCGUCUUCAGAGUCAGAAGAAACAAGAUUCUUCAUUCCAGGUCCCUUCUCCACUUGACGGUCCAGGGUCAGUCUUGGUUGGUUGUUGGAUUUCUUUCUUUUUACACGCUUUAAUCGGGCAAUGAGCAAUUCGAUGCUCGGCGCUCCCACAACGCAGACAUCUCCUCCCCUUUCUCCAACAAUCAUUCUCAGUGUGAUUGGCCUUUCCGCAAUAGUCACAAGUCAAGUGGGAAGCCAUCUUUUGCUUUCCGGAGAAGUCUCCCCCUGUCCGGUUUGGCUUCCUUUGAUAAAUCUUUUAUCUACUGCCCCCAAUGUCCAUGGCGGCCAGAAUAACUGGUUCACUUUCUGUACUUUAGAAGGUGCCAUUGCUUCGCUAGGUUCCUCACUCACGCUACCCACUGCACCCCUUUUCCGUAUUUGGAAAGCUUUCACUUGCGCCUUUGCAUUCUCGAUUCGUUGAGCCUUUUCAAGGGCCUCCUCGGAAAUCCCUUCGUAUUUCCUUUUUAGCUCUAAGUUCUUGUGCAAGAGCUCAAUUUUCUCUGAAUACUCGCGCUUCCAUCGCCCUUCCCAGUAUGCGACUAGUUUCUUUUGGACUUCUAUCUCGUCUCGAAGAACCGCGAUUUCCUUAUAUAUCUCAACCCAACGUGCCAUUUCACAGAAUUGCUGGACCUCAGAUGGUAGCCUGUCGGCAAAACAAUGGGUCAUAAUAAAGUUUUGAAUACAAGUGGCACUCUUGGUCCAUGUUUGGUUCAGCUAUUGUUUCCUCCCUUUCUUCUCUUGACUCUUGGUCUCGUUUUGUUUCACUGCUAUGACCAUGUCCGCGACUACGUCUCUUUUUUUUUUCCCUCUCUCUUUUCUUUCCAAAAGGGUACUUUAAUGCAUGAAUGCAAUAAAUUGACUAAAAUAACAAAAUCUGUCAUACCAAUUACACAAAUAACAUAUCGCACAUAACACGCCAUAUUAAAAGACGGAUAAUCAAGUACACAAAUACAUAUCAAGUUGGACAGAUAACCACAUAUACAAGCACAUAUACAAGCACAUAUACUAACGUCAGGUGGUAGUAACAUACGGACGAACCAAAAGGAAAAGGUGAAGUCGUCCCAGUAUCAGCCCGUCUGGUCUCUCACGUCACUUACUAUCCAAACUAGAUGUCCAUUGAUCUCUUGUGCUCAUUCUCGUCAGACAAAGCCUGUUCAAGUUUCCGAAAUACAAGGCUUGUUUCCAAAAUUCAAGGCUCAAAUACCUAGUAGCUUGCAUCGCCUCAAUUCUGGAGUACUUGGGCACGAGAAUCCGAAAUAAGAUAGUUCACAUCUUGAGCUGGCCAGUCCCAAGAGUAAACCAUCUACAAUCGAAAUUCCUACCCGACAAACCUAUCUAUGGUCCUCAGAUACCAUGAGAGAGAUUUAAGACCUAUAACAUUCACAAUUCAGAGCUUAGGCUCGAACGAGCACUUAUUCCUUCAUAUCUAUUCACCACUCAGUCCAAGCUCACUCCGCGCAGAGACCACGAGAAGCAGGCUCUGAUACCACCUGUGACAGCCCCACUUUCCCCUAAGGCGAACCAAAGGGGUUAGUGGACUGCCUGCCCAGCUCUCGCCAGGACUAACGGUGCAGUUCAGAGCGAUCUAUUGCGUUCCGAAACUUAUAACGCGUGUAAACAAGACAAAAGGGCAAAAUAACCCAAAAUAAAAAAAAUGAAAUUCGGAGUCGACCAUGAAUAGUAACCGACCCGUCAGAACGCAAUCAAAUAUCAAACAAACACUCAUAUCUUGAACGUUAGCAAUUACAAUCCAAAGUGACAUACAAAAGUUUUCAAAAGUUAAUAUAUACACGGUUUGCUAAAUUGAAAGUGAAAAUGACCCUAAAGAUACAUUUAGGGUUUCACUUCAUAUACAAUACAAAAGAGAUAUACAUCUAGUUCAUUCGGCAAUCAUCUAUCAAGAUUCAUUCCAAAAAGAGUCAUAUUCCUGUAAGGAAAACAAAAGGAACGGUGUGAGCUAAUUGCCCAAUGAGAUACUAUCACUUACGCAACCAAGUGCAUAUAAGCAUCAAGCUUUCAAUCAAUAUAAUAAAAAUAAACAAAGGCACACGUCAAAUAUGGUGAGAAAAGGAUACAGAUGGCUCUCAACAGCCCUUUCCUCGUUUGCAUUUCUUGAUCGGACGUCAUUGACCCUCCGUCAAUGUUCAAAAAUAACCAACCGUAGACUCCACUUACCUCCACUCCUUCCACCUAACAUUCCCCUACCGGGCCCGAACUCCAAACACUUGCACUUUGGUAUUACUCGAGUAUACCGGAAUCGAGAGUCUCGCAUACUACAAGAUUCCAUAUAACUUUACCCAAGGUUCAUUAAUUGGCACGACCAAUCCCUCGCCGGCUCGAUUCAAUCAACUACCAAUGGGGUUGAGCUCAUUGAUAACAUUUGUAGUCGUUGGAUACUCGUCCAAUCGACACCAAGUCGAGUACUUUCAUUUCAUGUAACAUUUCAUGUAACAUUCCAAUAACAUAACAACAAUGAUAUAAGGCAUAUAAGUGAGAGUGAUAAAGUACACUUUCACUGCAAUCAAGUCACAUUCAAUUCACUUCAAGCAAUUUACAUUCAAAGCCAUAUAGUAACACACAAGUGAGUAGUACACUCACCAGGGUCAAUGCAGAUACCUCCCAAAAGAGAGCUUUAAUCACCAAUAAACCCUAAAAUAAUCCAAGGAAAACAAUUGAAGGUUCCACUUUCAAAAUUGAGUAUACAGAAUGCACAUGUGAGGCUCGACUACCAGUCGUAUGCCUCGCCAAAUUUACUAAAGCAAGGGUGCAAAACAUGAUUUUUGGUAACGAAAAGGUAACAUGAAGACCUAGGCUCAAAAAAAAAACAACCCAAAAGCCCUUUGCUCAAAACACAAGUAAAUCCAACUAGCCUUCAAGUAAAAUUUCGGCAGCAUAUCCCUUGUGUUUACCUAUUUUCCAGCCAUCAUGGCUUCAUUAUUUCCUCAAAUCAGUCCCAACAUCUUGUACAAAAAUAAUCUCAUUCCCAAAAGCCGUUCACUAGGUUUAAUGGUAUUCAAGUACAAAAUUUAGCUAGGAAAUAACCGAAUAUGAAAGUCAAGCCCUAACUAUUCAAAUGAACACAAUAAGACUCGAUUACAAGUCAUAAACCAAUUCUAUAUACUACCAAAACAGGGUUCCCUAAGCAUACACAAACAUUAAAGGAAACCAGAAAAUUCGGAAAUGCAAUUAGCUUUGGCCUUGAAAAAAAAACAGUUUUUGUCCUCGUUUUGCGGUAAUGGCACCAAUUUCACUAAGAUUAUCGGAUGAGGGUGCAAGACCCACCAUCUCGAAACUAAAAGAUAGGGCUACAACAUCACAGAAGGUCACUCAACCCAGUUUUGAGUUCAAACAGGUCAAAAAUGCAAGAUACUACAUCAAAAACGUAAAACAGAUUCACCAAAACGCAUUCUAGCGGAAACAUCAUAACUCAGACUGUCCAAGUCCAAAUCCAAAAAUUCCAAAACCAGCUGAAAGCUAAGGAACAGGGAUACAUUUCAUCAGAAGACCUCAACAACCAAUUCGGAAGCAAUUCCAGCCAAAACAACCAAUUACAGGCGCAAUUCUUGCAUUCGGGUAAAACCAGAACAGCAAUAGUAAUUUCGACUUUUCUCACCUGAAAUUUUGUAGGCACCUCUAAAAUGUCAUUCCCUACAACUUUCAUGUUUUAAGCUAAGGCCAAUUCGGCCUCUAACUAGGAGCUAUAAAUUCAGGCAGAAUGUUCCUUCAUGAACCCUAGGUUUUUCAAUUUUCUUCCAAAACAGAAAUUGGUUGCAAUUAAUCACUUUUUCCACCUUCUAGAUGCCUUAAACAUCAUUUCCAAUCAUCAUACAUUGUCACACAAUCAUGCUUAUAUUAAAACAGAAAAAUCCCCAAAAAUAAUAAAACUUCAUCAUUUCAACCACAAUCAAGAAAUAAUCCAUAAACUUGCAUCUUAUACUCCCACUAAGCAUGAUUUAAGCAUCAAUUAAAGGAGGAGGGUGGUUCUUCAUAACUUACCUUAAAAACAAGAGAGAGAGAGCUAUAGGUCCUCCUAGCUUUCCAAAUCACUCCACCAAUCAACUUACUAACACUAAUUGAAGAGGUUUUAUGGAGUAAGUUCAAGUUUCAAUGGUUGGUUUUGAUGAUUUGGAGCAAAAUGGAAGCAAAACUUGAAGAGUUUCUUCCUUUCUUUUUGAGAGAGAGGGCCGGCCAACAAGGGAGAAGAAAUGAAGAAUUUUUGGUUGUUUUUUUAUUUAAUUAGUCAAUUGGUAAGACCAUGAAUAGUGGUCUUCAAGGUAGACCACUCAAAUGGUGACACUUGUCACCUUUUAUUAAAUAUCUACCUAACUUGUCUCUCUCAUAUUAAUCCAAAUUGCAACCUCUACUUAUCUCUUAACACCCGGUAAAUUAAUUCCAGUAUCCAAAACUUAACCUAAUUGGCCGAAUUUUUCCGAACUUUUCGCACUAGUGGGUCCCACAUCCGGUAUACGCUCUUAAUUUCUCAAAACCUAUUCGAUACUAGAAAAAUCAUCUAAAAAUUAUAUCUGCUCCUUAAAUUCAUCUAGCAAUUUUUUUUCUAAUCACGAAAAUGCGGAAAACAAGCCACGGAAAAUAAUAAAACCUAGAAAAUGGUAAAAAAAUACGGGUUCUCACAGACCUAUGUGAGAUGAAGUGAUGAUUUUAGGUGUUGUUUCAUGAUUUUUAGUUGAGUUUGGUGAAUUUUCAUAUUUAUUCAUGAUUUUUCUGUCCUUAUAUGUUUAAUAUUGUUGGGCCAUGGAUGAUAGCUUGGAAUGGUCUAGAAUGAAGCUAUAGUGCGUAAAUUGUGGUUGUUUGCGGAAAAUUUCCGCAUUUGACAGAAAAUUUCAGAAUUAGGGUUUGAAUUUGGGGCUUUUCUAGGGAUUCUAUAUAGCACUUGUAUUGGCUUGGAUGGAAGGGUUUUAUGGCACUAAAAAGGUGUAUUGAAGGGUUUAUAACUUGUAGUGGUAAUGGUGGUUAUGUUUGGAAAAUAUAGGUGAAGGUGUGUAAGUUGGAACUUAGAACAUUAAGGGGGAAAUGCCGUCCAAUUGGAACUUCUUGUGUGUGAUUGGGCUUGGGUUGUUUUAGGGAUAACAAGAGACCUUAGGGUUGCUUAAACCCUUAGUGCCAAGUGUUUCUUCUUAUAUUUGCAAGUUUCCUUGGUUUACAUUAAUGGCUUGUAGCUUUGAUUCAUGACUCGUAAUUGAGUCUCAUUGUACUUAUUUGAAUGUUUUAGGGCAUGACGGUGGUCCGAGACGUUCGUUGGGUGAACAAGUGUGAAAGUUAUCUUUGCUUGCUUGGUGAGUGUACUACUCACUUGAUUGUUACUAUGUGGCUUCGUUAUACUUGAAAUCGAUGAUUUGAUUGCCUAAUUGCAUUGUUGACAUAGAUGGAGGUGAGGGUGUACUUGAUCACUCUCACCUGUUAUAUCUUAUAUGACUGUUUACUGUGUGACUAGAAUGAUACUUGAAUAUACUUGAAUUGGUGUCGUUUGGACGAGUAUCCAACGGCCAUUACUGUGAUCACUGAGCUCAACCCCAUUGGAGGUCGAUUGAAUCGAGCCGGCAAGGGUUUGGUCGUGAAAAUUGACGCGCCAUGGGGACUGUUAUGUGGAAUCGUGGAGUAUGAGACUUUCGAUUCCGAUAUACUCGAGUAUUACCAAAUCCAAACUGUUUGGAGUUCGGGCCCGGUUGGGGUAUGUGUGGUGGAAGGAAAGGGAGUAAAAUGGAAUCUACGUUGGGUUACACUUUGAACAUUGACGGAGGGUCAAUGAGAUGUGAUCAACUACGGCAAGCGAGGAAAGGGGCUCUUGAGAGCCGCCCGUAUCCUUUUACCACUUAUGGUGAUAUGUGGCCUUAUUUAGCUUUCUUGUUGGAUAAACUUGGAAUGAAUGAAGUGAUGCUUAAUUGAAUCUCUAUGCUUGAGUAAAAGUACCUCAUUGGGCGAUAGCUCAUCUUAUUCCUUUUGUUUUCCUUAUAGGGAUUUGAACCUUUUGGAAGGCCUUGAUACGUGGUUACCAAGUUGAACUAAAUGUAUAUAUGCUUUUGAGUAGCUUUUCAAUGUACAAACCCUAGUUGGAUAGAUCCGACCUUGCUUUCGAUUUGUAAAAUUGGAAUCGUACAUGUAUAAUGUGUUUGGUGUUUUAUUUGGGCUUGCAGUUAUGUGAUUUCUUGGUUAUAUGCUUUGUUGAUGUUUAAAAGGUUUUUGGGGUAGAUUCGGAUUUCAAACGGCAAAGGAAAAAAAAAUUUGGCGAGAAAGGACAGGGUCGAAUCCGGCCAGAAACUAGCCGGAUUUGCGGCGGAAUUGCCCUGAGGAAAAUUGGAAAUCCGGCCAGUGCUCUCCGGCCGGUAUCCGGCCAGGAAUCCGGCCGGAAAUCCAGCCAGAUUCCGGUCGGAUUCUGACGUGCCAGGCACUAUUCAUGUUCGGCUCCGUUUUUCAUUUUUUUUAUUUUAUGAUUUCGACUCGUUUAAGCGCGCUUGUACGUUCCGGAACGUUUUAGAUCGCAUUGAACUUGUAGACACCAAAUUUUUAGUGUAGUUUUAUUCACUAUUAUUUUUGUUUUUUAUGUUAGUUUUUAUUUUACUUUGAGUCUUUUAUUUUAUUUUUAAGUCAUUUUAGCAUAGAAUUUAUCGGAAAAAAAAACAAGGAAAAAAAACAGAAAAAUGUAGCAAAGGAAUGCUUAUCAUCUGAUUGCACUGUCAAACUAAAACAUUCAAGAAAAAGUGCUAAAGCCCUGACCAUGAAAACAAAUAAGAUACUCAGAACACAACUCACCACACACAAAUCAUACGCAUUCAGUUUCAUAGGAAGAAAACAACACGAAAGCUGACAGCUUUUUGGUUAACCAGUCUUCAGCCACACAAAUUCCGAAACACAACUUUUAGUUCAUAGGUUUUUUUUUUUUUACAAACGAAAAAAUAAAUUCCCGAUAAACAUGAAGCAGGAGUGAAGGAACAAUGAGCAACGAAAACAGUUGUCCUAAGCAAACCCAAGGAGUACACGCUUAGAAUGCUUCAAAAAUCUGAACUUUAAAAGGAAACUGCAAUUUAAAGGGAAAGGAGAGCUCACAAAGCUUUCUUUCAGUAAGGAUUCGUGGGUGAUGGUGGAUUGGGGUGAUUCUAACUCUGGUUCCUCCCGAUUCUCGAAGAACAGCACCAGACCUUCUUCCUCCUCUGGUUUUUCUCCUUUUCCGUUCUUGCUUUCCCACGAAACUCUCUCUCAGUUGUUCCUCCCUUUUCUCUCUCUAUCUUUCAGCCGUCAUCUACCCUCCAAAAACCCCCCCUUUUUCAUCCGCCGUUGUUCUCUCUCACUGACUCUUGCAUUCUUAGCCCUCUCUUGUUCCCUCACUCAACCAGCCGUCAAAAACCUCCCCCUCGAAACCUUAGCUUUCCACAGCGUUUUAUAUCCGAAACUCCCUCCUGAAACCUAGCAUCUAAGGCACGGAAAAACUCCAUCUUGUUUUGCAUUUUUUACAGCCUUAGAUUUUCAUGUUUUCUGAUAAACCUUGGAUCGAGCCAAGUGUCUUCUAUUGGGAUCAUCAGACGGAGGAGAAAAUUGAGUAAACAACGGAGCUGAAAAAUUUGCCUUUUUGUAUCUGCGUUUUUGCAGAUGAAAAUGUAGCUUUGAUUGUAUGCUUUUCAGGUGCAUGAGCUCGCUUUUUUUUUUCACUUUUCCCUUCAAAGAAUUAUUUGAAACAAAAUAAUCAAAAAUAACAAUUUAAGUAAAAAUCGAAUGAAAUAAACAACAAGAAAUAAAAGAUAAAAAACUAAGAUUUGUUUUUUUUUUUGAGUGAUGAUUUUCCCUUUUCCUUUUUUUUAAUUAAAUAACAAUAAAUUUGAAUCUAAAAUAAAGCAUAUUUUUGUGAAUGAUUUUCUCUCUUUUUUUUCUUCCCUUUUUUUCGAUAAAUUCUAUGCUAAAAUGACUUAAAAAUAAAAUAAAAGACUCAAAGUAAAAUAAAAACUAACAUAAAAAACAAAAAUAAUAGUGAAUAAAACUACACUAAAAAUUUGGUGUCUACAGUUUGCCCCUCUUUGUCUGAGUUUUGGAAAAACUUGAGACAAAGAAAUAGACACCAAAUACUCACCUGUGUUAUUUGGCUGCGAACGACUCGAACUAUGGACGCUUUAGAAAUUGGGACUGAUCUCUUUGAUAAAAUUUUAAAAUGGGACUGACCUAACAAGAAAUUAAAAGGGGACUGACCCCAACAAGAAAUUUAAAAGGAGGACUGACUCCAACAGGAAAAUUUAAAGGGGAUUGACCCUAACAGGAAAUUUAAAUCGGGGCUGACCCAAAUAAGAAAUUUAAAUGGGACUGGCCCGAAUAGAAAAUUUAAAUCGGGACUGACCCGAAUAGGAAAUUUAAAUGGGACUAACCCGAAUAAGAAAGGAAGUGCUCACUAGUGGGGCUAACCCAUGUUUAGUGGCAAUGAAACAUGAAAUGCACGCUAGUGGGGCUGACCCAUGUUUAACGGCAAUGAAAAUGAAAUGCACGCUAAUGGGACUGACCCAUGUUUAGCGGCAAAGAAAAUAAAAUGCUCCCUAGUGGGACUGACCCAUGUUUAGUGGCAGUGAAAAUGAAAUGCGCACUAGUGGGACUAACUCAUGUUUAGUGGCAAUGAAAAUGAAAUGCACACUAGUGGGACUGACCCAUGUUUAGCGGCAAUGAAAAUGAAAUGCACGCUAGUAGGACUGACCUAUGUUUAGUGAAACUGACCCAACGGCUAGUAGCAGUGUAAAUGAAAUGCACGCUAGUGGGACUGACCCAUGUUUAGCGGCCAUGAAAAAAAAUGCACACUAAUGGGACUAACCCAUGUUUAGUGGCAAAGAAAACAUGAAAUGCACGCUAGUGGGACUGACCCAUGUUUAACGGUAAUGAAAAUGAAAUGCACGCUAGUGGGACUAACCCAUGUUUAGCGGCAAAGAAAACAUGAAAUCCACGCUAGUGGGACUGAUCCAUGUUUAACGGUAAUGAAAAUGAAAUGCACGCUAGUGGGACUGACCCAUGUUUAGUGGCAAUGAAAAUGAAAUGAACGCUAGUGGGACUGACCCAUGUUUAGCGACAAUGAAAUGCAAUGCUGGUAUGUAUGCAAAAACUGUAUAAGACUUACCUGAAAAAUUAUCCAAAAAUUUGUCCUAGUGUGACGUGUCGUCAUUUUAUUCGAAAUUUUCCUGAACCUAUCUUCACUAGGUCAGUGGGGUAACACCCAAGCCUGUCUUGAGAGUCGGUCAGUGGGAUUAAACCCAAUCCUGCCAAGGUUGGCGGGAUAGAACCCAGUCCCAACGAGGUAUGAACGGUCAGCGGGAUAAAAUCCGGUCCUGCCGAGGUUGGCGGGAUAAAACCCGGUCCCAACGAGAUAUGAACGGUCAGCGGGAUAAAAUCCGGUCCUGCCGAGGUUGGCAACCCGGUCCCAACGUGAUAUAAGCUGUCAGCGGGAUAAAACCCGGUCCUGCCGAGGUUGGCGGGAUAGAACCCGGUCCUAACGUGAUAUAAGCGGUCAGCAGGAUAAAACUCGGUCCUGCUGAGGUUUGCGGGAUAGAACCCGGUCCCAACAAGGUAUGAACGGUCAGCGGGAUAAAAACCCGGUCCUGCCGAGAUUGGCGGGAUAAAACCCGGUCCCAAUGUGAUAUAAGCGGUCAACGGGAUAAAACCCGGUCCUGCCGAGAUUGGCGGGAUAAAAUCGGUCCCAAUGUGAUAUAAGCGGUCAGCGGGAUAAAAUCCGGUUCUGCCGAGGUUGGCGGGAUGAAACUCGGUCCCAACAUUCAUUGGUCAGUGGGAUAAAACCCGGUCCUGCCGUUCAUUUAAUCAAAAAUUAAAUGUGAUUGUCAAGAUGGGGAUAGGAGGGUGCGUGGCAGACGUUAAAAUUUCGCCAAAAAAGAAAUUUAAUUUAAUUUUCCAAGAAACAAAAAUUUAAACUUGAUUUGAUUGAUUUUUUUGUUUUUUUUAUUGAUGAUGAUGAUUUUUUUUGAAUUUUUGAUAUUCGGAAGAAUCUUUUCAAAAAAAUGAUUUGCCCCAAUUUCCAUUAUUGUGUUACCGAUCUUUCGAUCUGCUUUAUGGUAUUAUUGUUUUCCUCAAAACUUUGAUUCAGUCCCUUUUCUCAGCUCAAAUCAUGAAUAUUCAAUUCUUGGACGACAUCUUACAGUUCAAAACUUGCCCCAGUUUCGUUAUUUGAAACGAGCAUGGACCUGCAAAAGAAAUAAACAAAUAAUGCCACCACCAUCCAAUCAAUUCCUCCUUCAAGAAAUGUGUAAACAUGAGUACUUUGAUGUUUUCCCCUUGAUACUUCGAAAACUCAACUUUGCUCUGUGAUCUGAUCAAACUCCAUUGACUUCCAAUGCUAAUAAGGCCCUUGGUAUCCAGGGAUUUUCAAUAAAUCAGGGGGAUUGCCAUCUGAUGAACCCAAAGAGAUAAAUAAGACCAUGAAACUCAUGAAAGAAUAUUCUAUUUACACAACAAAUGAUGAAAAUUUCUGUAACAUGAAAACAAUCAUUUAUUUUUAUUGAAAGAAAAUUAAUUUUGAAAAAAUGAAUCUAUAAAUUCGGUAAUUUACGCUUGAGAAACCAAAGUAUUCCGACUUCAAACAAAAUGCCACGCUUGACCCUUUAGAUAUCAUUCGCCCGGAGUUCGAUGUUGGCCACAGAAAAACCACAAUGCGAGGAGGAAUCUCAAAUGAACCGAAUCACCAGUUUUCUAAUUCCAACCUCACUUUUUCUCAUGAAACUCUACCUUAGCGCCCUUUCAGGUUUUCACUAAGGCUACUCCUACCUUUUUUUUUUCAUUUUUCAUUCUUUUUGCUUUUCUUUUCUUUCUUUUCUUUUUUCCUUUUCUUUUUUCCUUUUCUUUUCAAAGGUGCCCUUUUCAGAUUUUCACCUGAUGAACAAAUCUUGCCAAUAGCCUUUAUCAACUCAAAAAAUGUGUUUUAAGAAAUAAUGGCAUCAGUGCGACAACCCCUUCCCUUACAAAAUGAGUGAAGACGUAUUGACAUCAUUUGCCAUGUGAUUUAGAAAAUUUGCUUAAAAGAGGUGAUGCCAAGAACGGAAGCCAGGACUUUUGGUUUUUGUAAUGGGGUCUAGUGAGGUGUUAAGAAAAGGUUAAGGCUUGAAGGCAGAUUUCUGAAAGUGGUUUAAAUGACCUGAAAUCGCAUUAUUGCACCAUCCCUAUUUUAGGGUUAAACCAAAACUUGCCCCAGUCUAUUUUCAACUGAGAUUCUUUGUCCUUUCAUUUUCCUUCCUUUCUUCUGCCAUUCCAUUCAUCUUUUGAAAUAUUCACAAUUUGCCCCAGUUUAUUUUUUAACUAAGGUUUUCUUUUAUUCAUUUCCUUUUCUUUCGGCUUUCUUUCGAAUAUUGAAUUUGCCCCAGUAUGGGAUUUUUCUUUUCUUUUUCAAAACUACAUUUGUCCUAGUGUGGGGUUUGCGAUCUUCAGGGAUUGCCAAAUGAAGUAAUUUAUUCUGAAGGCUCAAAAGGGAUGACUAAGGAUAAAAUGUCUCAAUGGGAAAGGAAGAAGGCCUGACUUUCAUUCCAUUCUUUGCAUUAACCCUUGAAAGGAAACUUUCAUUUAUCAGAUGAAGAAUUUCUUUCACACAUAUCUGAAUUGAUCGGUUGAGAGAAAAUUUGUUCACUCCACUUCUGCGAGAACUAGUACUUUGCCAUGCAACACCUUCUUGAUAAUAAAAGAACCUUGCCCAUUCGCGGUGAACUCUUCUUUUGGCUUUAUCUCAUACCGACAAAAGCUACCUCAAUGCUUUAUUUCUUUGGGCCAUUCUCUUUUGAUAGCACUGACAAAGACAAAUGGCAUUCAGAUGCUCCUUAUCAAGUGACCACUGAAAUCGUGAUCCCACUUCAGCUUGAGUUUCUCUUUAUACCAUUUGUGUUCCUUUGAAACAUUCUCUGAUGUCUCUUCACUAUUCCCCUCAUUUUGAAAUCCAAAUUCACAUUCAUGAAAUAUCAAAUUUUGGAACAGUGAUAUCCAAAGGGUCAGAGGAUUUUAUUCUUGGCCAAUCUGAACCAAUACUCUUACCUUAUACUCAAGCCUCUGUUACUUCACAAGUUAUGAAUCCACCUGAAGAAGCCUUUACCUAUCCCACUCACGGCCCACCACCUACUUAUGCACCUAACAUCCAAAUUAACCCUUCUCAUGCCCAAAUUCCCCAAAGUUAUCCGCCAAUUGCUAUGAGCAUGCCAUUCAAACCUCAGGGACCCCAUUAUUACUCUACCGCUGAGCCAUUUACUCUAGAUACCGCCGCCCAAGGAAAAGCUAAAGUUGGGGAAUCAUUCGCGCCAGUGGAUAAAAACUUGCUAAAGAGAUUGGAUCGGUUUGAAGAGUUCAUAAGAAAAAAUCAAGGUUUGAACAAGUAAGGAGGUUUGGACCACAACGAGCUAUGCUGGUUUUUUAGUUUGAAUGUUUUAGUUUGACGGUGCAAUCAGAUGAUAAGCAUUCCUUUGCUGCAUUUUUCUGUUUUUUUUCCUUGUUUUUUUUUUUUGACCCGGAUCCUCUCUGUGGAAACCAUUAAAGCUAGACAAACAUGCUUGGGUUUUUUUUUUUAAAUUGAUGAAUUGAGGAUCAUGUGAGUUUGGGCUGAUGAAAUAAUAGAUUUGGUUUGAGUUUUUGUAUGGACAUAAUUGCAUGGAAUGAGUUGCAAAAUUGGCAGCGGUAAUCUGAUUUAAUGGCCCUCUUUGCUCUAGAUUUCCUUGGUUUGCAUGGUUAGUUUUUGUGUGUGAUGAAGGUUUUAUGCAAGCUAAUGAAUGUUGGGCUUCAUAGCAGCGUUUAAAGUCUUUGCAAAAUUUCCUGUAGUUGCUAAUAAGCCACAAAGUUGUAAAACCCAGAAACCAGCAAAUAAGAAAGUAAAGCUUCGACCAUGCUGCGUUUUUUGAUGUUGAAUGAUUAUGGCUAUGGAUUGCUAAGUCCUAUCUGCGUUUUGUUGAAAAUGGUAAGACAAGACAUGUGAAAUUUGACUAGAUUUAGGUUCCUUAGCUAAGCUUGCUUGAGGUCUUCGUUGCAUCUUCGUUGCUGCAUUUUCUUUUCUCAUGAUUCACUGGUUUGUUCAAUAGACUGUGUCUUCUAGUUGAGGUUGUGGAUCUUUGUUAACAUUUUGAACGAUUUUGCUGGGAUUUUUGAAUGGGUCUUGAUAGAUUGUUUUACCUUUUGUGGUGAUAAGUUGGCAAAUGUUUGGCUAGUUCAAUGGAAUAAUGUGGCUAACUAAAGAAGACAGCAAACUUUGUUGCAGAAAAUUUCUUCGUAACCUUGCAUGAAGAUUGCAUGAAAAACAAAAGGAAAAAUUGCCUUUUAACCCCUUAAUUUGUGUUUAAUUCUACUAUGGACCAGAAAAUUGGAAAAAUCAAUCAAAGUGGCCCCUUUAACUUCUUUAAUUGUUUCAAUUGGGUCCUGGUUUGUUUCAAUUUGAUGAAUAUGAGUUGUUUAGUUUAUUUGAAUGCUUUGAGUGAUUCAAUUUCAUGUUUAUUUCCAUUUCUUGUGAUUAUUUUGUUAAUUAAAGUGAUGCCUUGACUUUUUCUUUGUUUUUGGAGGGUAAAUAAGUAAUUUCAUUUCAUUAGGACAUCCACUCAAAGGAGGUACACUCUAUCCCUUAUUUUGACUUCAUUUGGUCUUACGUGCUCUUAUGUGACUUUAUGUGUUUAAUUGCAUGCCUAUUGAAAGUGUUUUAUAUUUAUUUUUAUUAUUAUUUUACUUACUUAUUGGCUUUAUUUUUGUAUAUUUAUUUUAGUUCAAUUUUGAUCAUUUGAAAGGCACUUGAAUGCCAAAUUUGUAAUAGUUAGGUAUUUAUUUUAAUUAUUUACUCAUUUCCCCUUUUAGAUUGUAGUAGGGCCCCCCAAUGUAAUAGUUAGGGCUUGUUUGCUUUAUUUGCUUGGUAUGUUUUGCAUGCUUAUGUGUUAUGUGUUAUCCGCUUUCUUAGAGUUUUGCAUCUAGAAAUUAAUUUUUAUGUGUUAUGUGCUAUACAUGAUUUAUAUGUUUUCAUGCUUUUAUAGGCCUUACAUGAUUUAUUUGAUUGUAAUAAAUGCAUGGUGUCACCACACUAGUCCAACGCUAGUUGUGGCUCAUUGUUCCGAUUUUUCACUAGUCCAAUGCUAGUAGGAAUUCAUAAAUAUGGGCUAGUCCAACGCUAGACCCUUAGGGAUCUCCUACGCUAGAUCAUGUUUGUAUGACUACAUUACAUUCUCAUGCAUAUUUUUCACUUUUUAGGGUCUUUUAUCAUGACAUCCCUCCUUAUACGUAUAUCCCUUCCCCAUAUUUUCCCUUAUAUGUAUAUUCCUUACCCCUUUGUAUGGAAACAUAACAUUAGACUUGCAUUUCAUUUAAGAAAUAGAAUUAGGGUAGUGCAUUUGCUUGAUUAGAUAGGGAAAUACCCCUUGAGUAUGGGAUAUGAAUGAGUUUGGCUUUCUAACCUUAGCACGCUCGUAUUCCCUCUAUAAAAGGGAAAACUGAAGUCACGAACAUUAGAUCCCCGUAC